rnacentral:rRNA from 1 species
UACAGAGGUCCCAAGCGUUGUUCGGAUUCACUGGGCGUAAAGGGUGCGUAGGCGGUCGGGUAAGUCUGAUGUGAAAUCUCACAGCUUAACUGUGAAACUGCAUUGGAUACUAUUCGGCUUGAGAGUUGGAGGGGGGACUGGAAUUCUUGGUGUAGCAGUGAAAUGCGUAGAUAUCAAGAGGAACACCAGUGGCGAAGGCGACUCACUGGCCCGAUACUGACGCUGAUGCGCGAAAGCGUGGGGAGCAAACAGG